AACGAACGCUGGCGGCAGGCCUAACACAUGCAAGUCGAGCGCCCCAGCGAUGGGGAGCGGCGGACGGGUGAGUAACGCGUGGGAACGUGCCCCUUUCUGCGGAAUAGCCUCGGGAAACUGGGAGUAAUACCGCAUAAGCCCUACGGGGGAAAGAUUUAUCGGGAAGGGAUCGGCCCGCGUUGGAUUAGGUAGUUGGUGGGGUAAUGGCCUACCAAGCCGACGAUCCCAUAGCUGGUUUGAGAGGAUGAUCAGCCACACUGGGACUGAGACACGGCCCAGACUCCUACGGGAGGCAGCAGUGGGGAAUCUUAGACAAUGGGCGCAAGCCUGAUCUAGCCAUGCCGCGUGAGCGAUGAAGGCCUUAGGGUUGUAAAGCUCUUUCAGGGGGGAAGAUAAUGACUGUACCCCCAGAAGAAGCCCCGGCUAACUCCGUG
rnacentral:rRNA from 1 species